rnacentral:rRNA from 1 species
UACGUAGGGGGCAAGCGUUGUCCGGAUUUAUUGGGCGUAAAGAGCGUGUAGGCGGCCUUGCAAGUCCGUUGUGAAAACUCGAGGCUCAACCUCGAGCUGUCGGUGGAAACCGUAAGGCUAGAGUCCGGAAGAGGAGAGUGGAAUUCCUGGUGUAGCGGUGAAAUGCGCAGAUAUCAGGAAGAACACCCGUGGCGAAGGCGGCUCUCUGGGACGGUACUGACGCUGAGACGCGAAAGCGUGGGGAGCGAACAGG